rnacentral:rRNA from 1 species
GACGAACGCUGGCGGCGUGCUUAACACAUGCAAGUCGAACGGAAAGGCCCCUUUGGGGGUACUCGAGUGGCGAACGGGUGAGUAACACGUGAGUAACCUGCCCUUGACUUCGGGAUAACUUCAGGAAACUGGGGCUAAUACCGGAUAGGAAUCCUUGCUGCAUGGGGGGGGUUGGAAAGCUUCGGCGGGUUUGGAUGGACUCGCGGCUUAUCAGCUUGUUGGUGGGGUAGUGGCUUACCAAGGCUUUGACGGGUAGCCGGCCUGAGAGGGCGACCGGCCACAUUGGGACUGAGAUACGGCCCAGACUCCUACGGGAGGCAGCAGUGGGGAAGAUUGCACAAUGGGCGGAAGCCUGAUGCAGCAACGCCGCGUGCGGGAUGACGGCCUUCGGGUUGUAAACCGCUUUCAGCAGGGGCGAAGCUUGUGGUGACGGUACCUGCAGAAGAAGCACCGGCUAACUACGUG